rnacentral:rRNA from 1 species
AUUGAACGCUGGCGGCAGGCCUAACACAUGCAAGUCGAGCGGUAGCACAGAGAGCUUGCUCUCGGGUGACGAGCGGCGGACGGGUGAGUAAUGUCUGGGAAACUGCCUGAUGGAGGGGGAUAACUACUGGAAACGGUAGCUAAUACCGCAUAACGUCGCAAGACCAAAGUGGGGGACCUUCGGGCCUCAUGCCAUCAGAUGUGCCCAGAUGGGAUUAGCUAGUAGGUGGGGUAACGGCUCACCUAGGCGACGAUCCCUAGCUGGUCUGAGAGGAUGACCAGCCACACUGGAACUGAGACACGGUCCAGACUCCUACGGGAGGCAGCAGUGGGGAAUAUUGCACAAUGGGCGCAAGCCUGAUGCAGCCAUGCCGCGUGUGUGAAGAAGGCCUUCGGGUUGUAAAGCACUUUCAGCGGGGAGGAAGGCGGUGAGGUUAAUAACCUCACCGAUUGACGUUACCCGCAGAAGAAGCACCGGCUAACUCCGUGCCAGCAGCCGCCGUAA